rnacentral:rRNA from 1 species
AUGAAAAUGCAAGGAGUAAAUAAGAAUAAGAAUAAGAAUUUUACUUAUGAUAUGAUGAUGAGGCAAAUCACUAGCAGACAACUGCCAAGAAUGCAGGACUAUUUUACUCUGCCUGAGAAUAUGCAUGUCUUGUUUUCUGGUUAUGGAUAUUGUAUAGUACUACAUAUCUUGUUUUUUUGUAAUAUAAUGCUUACCAAAGGUUUCAAUAUUUUGCUGUUACCAUUGUUCUUUGAGCAUAAUUCUUUUUCAUUUCCUACUAUCCUUAUUCUAAUUCUCUUAAAUUGCUAUGUUGUGUGUAAUAGAAUUAGAUCUUGGAUCUGCUAG